AUUGAACGCUGGCGGCAUGCUUUACACAUGCAAGUCGAACGGUAACAGGCCUUCGGGUGCUGACGAGUGGCGAACGGGUGAGUAAUGCAUCGGAACGUACCCAGAGGUGGGGGAUAACGCAGCGAAAGCUGUGCUAAUACCGCAUGUGAUCUGAGGAUGAAAGCGGGGGACCGAGCAGCAAUGUUUGGCCUCGCGCCUUUGGAGCGGCCGAUGUCGGAUUAGCUAGUUGGUGGGGUAAAGGCCUACCAAGGCGACGAUCCGGAGCUGGUCUGGGAGGACGAACAGUGACAGUGGAACUGAGACAGGGUCGAGAGGCCGGAGGGAGGCAGCAGUGGGGAAGAGUGGACAAUGGGCGAAAGCCUGAGCCAGCCAUGCGGAGUGUGUGAAGAAGGUCUUCGGAUUGGAAAGCACUGUAAGGUGGGAGGAAGGGCAGUAAGUUAAUGCCUGGCUGUUGUGACGGUACCAACAGAAGAAGCACCGGCGAACGUCGUG
rnacentral:rRNA from 1 species